rnacentral:rRNA from 1 species
UAAUACGUAGGUGGCAAGCGUUGUCCGGAAUUAUUGGGCGUAAAGCGCGCGCAGGCGGUCUUUUAAGUCUGAUGUGAAAGCCCACGGCUCAACCGUGGAGGGUCAUUGGAAACUGGGAGACUUGAGUGCAGAAGAGAAGAGUGGAAUUCCACGUGUAGCGGUGAAAUGCGUAGAGAUGUGGAGGAACACCAGUGGCGAAGGCGACUCUUUGGUCUGUAACUGACGCUGAGGCGCGAAAGCGUGGGGAGCAAACAGG